UACGAAGGGGGCUAGCGUUGCUCGGAAUCACUGGGCGUAAAGCGCACGUAGGCGGGUCCUUAAGUCAGGGGUGAAAUCCCGGAGCUCAACUCCGGAACUGCCUUUGAUACUGGGGAUCUUGAGUCCGGAAGAGGUGAGUGGAACUCCGAGUGUAGAGGUGAAAUUCGUAGAUAUUCGGAAGAACACCGGUGGCGAAGGCGGCGACCUGGUCCGAAACUGACGCUGAGGCGCGAAAGCGUGGGGAGCAAACAGG
rnacentral:rRNA from 1 species